CUACGGGAGGCAGCAGUGGGGAAUAUUGCACAAUGGGGGAAACCCUGAUGCAGCGACGCCGCGUGAGCGAUGAAGGUUUUCGAAUCGUAAAGCUCUGUCCUAUGGGAAGAUAAUGACGGUACCAUAGGAGGAAGCCCCGGCUAACUACGUGCCAGCAGCCGCGGUAAUACGUAGGGGGCUAGCGUUGUCCGGAAUUACUGGGCGUAAAGGGUUCGCAGGCGGAAAUGCAAGUCAGAUGUGAAAGGCAGAGGCUUAACCUCUGUAAGCAUCUGAAACUGUAUUUCUUGAGAUGUGGAGAGGCAAGUGGAAUUCCUAGUGUAGCGGUGAAAUGCGUAGAUAUUAGGAGGAAUACCAGUGGCGAAGGCGACUUGCUGGACACAAACUGACGCUGAGGAACGAAAGCGUGGGUAGCAAACAGGAUUAGAAACCCUGGUAGUCC
rnacentral:rRNA from 1 species